UGUAACACACACACCUCACUUUUUCUACACCCACACACACCGUGACACACAGCGACAUUUUCCUCCGUCGGCGAAGCUGCUCCAGCAACCACCGUCCUCCGACAACCUCCGUCUCUGACUUUUCGUCUCUCUCCGUCUCAAACUCUCUCUUCCGUUGCACGAACACAAAUAGGACGCCCUCCGUCUCUUUCUCUGCGUCACGGGUGUCCGGUUGUUCCCUGCGCCACCAUCACCGAUUUCUGGCAGCUCUAGGCUGGAAUUGACUCCACUUUGUCUUCAACCGAGUCAAGAUGAAUUUAUUAUGAUUUUUGCAAGGGGACUGCGCUGUUCUGCUAGGUUUGGGUAAAAUAGACGUUUAUGGUGUUUAUUUUCAUCGGGAUUAUGUUGAAUUCUGACUUAUUGGUUGUCCGGAUUAGUACUUGUUCUGUAAAAAUCUUAAGACAUGACCAAAGUCGAAAUUCUUAUGUUUUAACCUUAUUCUUUUGGACAAGUGUAUGAAGAUAUGAUUGCUAAUA